AGUGACGAUUUUGAAUCCACCGCGCAACUCCGAAUGACGUAAAUGAAUCUUAUGUCGUUCAUCUCUGUAGCAGAGUUGGAAAUAAAAUUUACAAUGCAACUUAUUUUAAAGAUAUACUUGAUAUAAAAUCAUAUAAAAUGUGACUAAAAUUUCAUUGGAUUCAAACUAACAACAAGUCGAGGUAAUUUUACGACUUAUUUUACUUUUCGGUAAUGUAAACAAAGCGGAUGUUUCGAAAAGAAUGAAAUGCGGAGAAAACGAGGAUUUUCGUCAACCAAAUCUAUUCAGCGGUACAGCAAGGCUUCGUUGACUCAAAAAAGGCGAUGGUGAGCUGCGUCUGACUGAAAAUUACUGUGCAAAGAUUAAACCCAUCAUUCGAAUCACAAACGCACGACAACUCUAGCCUAGCAAAAACGAUCUGCCCAGGUAUCCCUAAUAUUGUGGACAUUGAACAUGAAGUUGAGAUGGAACAGGAUAUGGAACCCUUAAUAUCUGCUAACUGGAAACUUGGAAGGAGGGUUAUGGAACUGGGGGUGAUAUGACAGAUGCUCUAAAAUGUCCAUGCCAUUUCAGCAGCUCUUUCAUGCUGUGGAUAUCCUAACUUAUGGAUCAUCAGCUAUCAUUAAGAGAGCGGGAACAUCAUGAUCAUAUCAGCAAUGAGACGAGAAAAGUUUUCAACUUUUUCCACAAAGAACAAUCAGUAAACAGGCAGACAAAAUUACAGGUCUAAAAAUAAAUGGAAUGAAGGUGUACAAUAACAAGUGAAUAUAGACGUUUCUCUUGUAACAAUCAGAAUUAGACUAAAGUUUUGAGUAACGACAAGAAAAGUGUUUAUAGUCACUGGAUACACUAUCAUUUCCUAUGAUGUCCCAGUAUUACCGAAUGCAGUUUAAAACUGGCAUUGUCAACAAAUUCGAUAUGGAGUUAUUGAUGGAAGAUGUGAAUUGAAAACUGUGUGUGACUCGUUAUAAAAAGUAAAGUGGAUUCUAUCUCAGAAUGCAGACUUUUUCAGUUGAAAGACCCCAGAGUUUUAUAUGAAAAGAGUCAUAUAUCUUCAGUCUGUUUGAAAUGUCCAUGACAUCAGUUGUGGACACAUUAUUGGUG